rnacentral:rRNA from 1 species
GAUGAACGCUGGCGGCGUGCCUAAUACAUGCAAGUCGAGCGAACAGAUGAGGAGCUUGCUCCUCUGACGUUAGCGGCGGACGGGUGAGUAACACGUGGAUAACCUACCCAUAAGACUGGGAUAACUUCGGGAAACCGGAGCUAAUACCGGAUAAUAUAUUGAACCGCAUGGUUCAAUAGUGAAGGACGGUUUUGCUGUCACUUAUAGAUGGAUCCGCGCCGCAUUAGCUAGUUGGUAAGGUAACGGCUUACCAAGGCAACGAUGCGUAGCCGACCUGAGAGGGUGAUCGGCCACACUGGAACUGAGACACGGUCCAGACUCCUACGGGAGGCAGCAGUAGGGAAUCUUCCGCAAUGGGCGAAAGCCUGACGGAGCAACGCCGCGUGAGUGAUGAAGGUCUUCGGAUCGUAAAACUCUGUUAUUAGGGAAGAACAAAUGUGUAAGUAACUAUGCACGUCUUGACGGUACCUAAUCAGAAAGCCACGGCUAACUACGUG